AGGAGGUGACAGGAGGUGACAGGGGGUGCCAUCGGUGUCCCCUGUGCCAGGUACACGUGGCAGGGGAAGCUGGAGGAGGACAGUGAGGUCCUGCUGAUGAUCAAGACCCGCAGUUCCCGAGUCCCGGCGCUGGCCCAGUUCAUCCGGUGGGGAUGGGGGGGAUUUGGGGGG